rnacentral:lncRNA from 1 species
CGGCUGCCAGUCCCGGGCCCCGCGCCCCCGCCCGCCCCCGGUCCCGCGCUCGCUCCCAUUCAGUCCCGGACCUUUCGCGGCCGGCGCGGAGGCGGAGGCGGGGAGAGGAGGGGCCACGACGGGGGCGGGGCCGGGGCCCCGCGUCACGAGGACGCGACAGACCAAUCGGAGCGCGCGGGGGCUCCCGCGGCGGCCUGGCUCCUGAGACGCGCAACCCGCCGCCCCGCUGGGUUGGGGAAGCGGGGAGCAGAGCGCCCCCAGCGGGACGCCCCGCAGGUUGGGCCGGCUGGGGCGCGGGGCCCAAGUGCCCCCAGCUCUCUCGAACUCUGCGUGCGGUUAGAUGGCGGAAGUUCCUUAAAUCAUUCUGACAGCAGGCAUUGUGGUUGCCCCCGGUGUCCAUCCCACCCUCCCCCUCUGUGAUGCAGCAUACUUUUUAGGGCAGAUGGACACUGCAUGGGUGCAAUGAAACUUCCACACGGAGGGCCUGAAGGUCUAUGACCUCUGUACCGAUAUAGGUGAUGAAGCGGAAACGUAGUAUGAUGGAGUGUGCAAAAUCAGCCUAAGAGGUCAGCCCUGCAUCUCUGCUGCCUCUUCAAAAUUACCUUGUCUGGUCAGGUUUGCUUUUUUUUUUUUUUUUUUAACUCAAGGGUUCUUUUAUAUUCCCGGCUAGGCUGUCGAGUCCUUGCAGGCAGGGACUUCGUCUUCUGUGAACAUUCCAUAGGAUGGACCCUAUUGCCUUGCUUUAGAGGUUAGGGCAAAUAACCUGAUAAGAAAUUAGCUCUGUUCUUCCCCCUCCCCCUAGUCUCAUUCUUAAAGAAGUGGAGGUAUUGUCGCCUCCCUCCACCUGCUCAGGAUGCCUGUACCCUAGGGAUUUGGGUUUCCCUUGCCCAAGCUAUGUUGGAUGGUCUCCUAGAGAGGCUGAGACCUAUCGCCAGUUCCUCAAAAAUACCCCAGGAGGUGGAGAACCUUUUAUAGGAAUGUCCAUGGAUGCCCAGGUACUGACCACUAAAUGACACAGCUGUGCGGGAAGCUGGAGGUACUGUGGUCAAGACCAUGGCUGGGCUAUGUGUGGCAUCUCUGGGGACCCUGGAAUAACAAACGUCCAGAACCAGACGUAAACGUAAAUGGUAACAACGACACCAAUCAUGGGCCAAGGAACAGGCCCCUGACCCAUUUUCCUGGCACCACAUAGGGUCUAGAGUUCUACUAUCAACUAGGAGGAGGGAACACCAACUAAUAUCAGUCACUAGUCAACCAGGCAUAACCAGACUUAGAAGAUAAGAGCACUGUUUUGCCAAUCCCGUGGG